GCCAAACAAUUUAGUUUCCACAGGCAGCUGCCAGUCCAAAGUUACUUUGCCUCUCAUCUUUUAUCACACAGCCUUGUCCUUCUAGGAACUUCUUCCUGCCAAGUGUGCAAGCACAGGAGCCAUAGGGAGCUUCCACUGGAACCAGAACCUGAGGGGAAGGAGUGCAAACACAGAGGCAGGGAAUCCUAAAGAAACAGCUACAGGACUAAAUGAAGGGAAGACUAAGAAGGAAAGGCAGUUUCCUUGGAAGAAUAAAGGGACAAUCCUAAAAUGCAUCUCUCAGAAUGCAGCUUUCAGAAGUCAUGUCCUGUCUGCAGGUGGAAAUGUUUGCAGGGAUCAGGGGAAGCUGCAUAUUAUUUUCUCACCAUUUCUGCACUGCUCUGCUUCACAAAAACGGAUCCCAUCAGGAACGUAUAUGAAUGAAUGGAUGUGGGGAACACCAUUCUGCAAUUUAGAGCAGACAUUGCUGGAGAGGCUGUGCUAGAAAGGAGAGAAAAAUACUGGGAAGGCUGGGAGGAUUUCCAUCAUC